UGGGGAAUUUUGGACAAUGGGCGAAAGCCUGAUCCAGCAAUGCCGCGUGUGUGAAGAAGGCCUUCGGGUUGUAAAGCACUUUUGUCCGGAAAGAAAUCCUUGGCUCUAAUACAGUCGGGGGAUGACGGUACCGGAAGAAUAAGCACCGGCUAACUACGUGCCAGCAGCCGCGGUAAUACGUAGGGUGCAAGCGUUAAUCGGAAUUACUGGGCGUAAAGCGUGCGCAGGCGGUUUGCUAAGACCGAUGUGAAAUCCCCGGGCUCAACCUGGGAACUGCAUUGGUGACUGGCAGGCUAGAGUAUGGCAGAGGGGGGUAGAAUUCCACGUGUAGCAGUGAAAUGCGUAGAGAUGUGGAGGAAUACAGAUGGCGAAGGCAGCCCCCUGGGCCAAUACUGACGCUCAUGCACGAAAAGCGUGGGGAGCAAAACAGGAUUAGAUACCCUGGUAGUCCACGCCCUAAAACGAUGUCAACUAGUUGUUGGGGAUUCAUUUCCUUAGUAACGUAGCUAACGCGUGAAGUUGACCGCCUGGGGAGUACGGUCGCAAGAUUAAAACUUAAAUGAAUUGACGGGGUCAUA
rnacentral:rRNA from 1 species